rnacentral:rRNA from 1 species
CGUACACUCCUGCGGGAGGCAGCAGUGGGGAAUAUUGGACAAUGGGCGCAAGCCUGAUCCAGCCAUGCCGCGUGAGUGAUGAAGGCCCUAGGGUUGUAAAGCUCUUUCACCGGUGAAGAUAAUGACGGUAACCGGAGAAGAAGCCCCGGCUAACUUCGUGCCAGCAGCCGCGGUAAUACGAAGGGGGCUAGCGUUGUUCGGAUUUACUGGGCGUAAAGCGCACGUAGGCGGACUAUUAAGUCAGGGGUGAAAUCCCGGGGCUCAACCCCGGAACUGCCUUUGAUACUGGUAGUCUUGAGUUCGAGAGAGGGGAGUGGAAUUCCGAGUGUAGAGGUGAAAGUCGUAGAUAUUCGGAGGAACACCAGUGGCGAAGGCGGCUCACUGGCUCGAUACUGACGCUGAGGUGCGAAAGCGUGGGGAGCAAACAGGAUUAGAAACCCUAGUAGUCCCA